GACGAACGCUGGCGGCGUGCCUAAUACAUGCAAGUUGAGCGCUGAAGGUUGGUACUUGUACCAACUGGAUGAGCAGCGAACGGGUGAGUAACGCGUGGGGAAUCUGCCUUUGAGCGGGGGACAACAUUUGGAAACGAAUGCUAAUACCGCAUAAAAACUUUAAACACAAGUUUCAAGUUUGAAAGAUGCAAUUGCAUCACUCAAAGAUGAUCCCGCGUUGUAUUAGCUAGUUGGUGAGGUAAAGGCUCACCAAGGCGAUGAUACAUAGCCGACCUGAGAGGGUGGUCGGCCAACAUGGGAAUGAGACACGGCCCAAUCUCCUACGGGAGGCAGCAGUAGGGAAUCUUCGGCAAUGGACGAAAGUCUGACCGAGCAACGCCGCGUGAGUGAAGAAGGUUUUCGGGUCGUAAAACUCUGUUGAUAGGGAAGAAAGUUGGUGGGAAUGGAAAGCUCAUAAAGUGACGGUAACUACCCAGAAAGGGACGGCUAACUACGUG
rnacentral:rRNA from 1 species